UGGCUGUAGCUUAUAUGUGAUGAAUAUAUCGAGAAGUUUAAGUGGCGGGUUGUUGUUGAACUGUUCACAUAUCUGCUUACCGAUCUUCUUACAUUG
rfam:Solanum lycopersicum cultivar Heinz 1706 chromosome 5, whole genome shotgun sequence.